AACGAACGCUGGCGGCGUGGAUAAGACAUGCAAGUCGAACGGGACAGACCGAGUAGCAAUAUUUGGAAUGUUCAGUGGCGAACGGGUGCGUAACACGUGGAUAACAUUCCGGAAAGCGGGGAAUAGCCCAGGGAAACUUGGAUUAAUACCGCAUGUGGCCGCAAGGCUAAAGACGGGGACCGCAAGGCCUGUAACUUUCCGAUUGGUCCGCGGCCUAUCAGCUAGUUGGCGGGGUAAUGGCCCACCAAGGCUACGACGGGUAGCUGGUCUUAGAGGACGACCAGCCACACUGGAACUGAGACACGGUCCAGACACCUACGGGUGGCAGCAGUCGAGAAUCUUUCACAAUGGGGGCAACCCUGAUGGAGCGACGCCGCGUGGAGGAUAAGGUCUUCGGAUUGUAAACUCCUGUCAUGCGAGAACAAGGUACUCAGGCUAAUAACCUGAUUGUUUGAUGGUACCGCAAGAGGAAGAGACGGUUAACUCUGUGCCAGCCGCCGCCGUAAAAC
rnacentral:rRNA from 1 species